UACGUAGGGGGCAAGCGUUGUCCGGAAUCAUUGGGCGUAAAGAGCGUGUAGGCGGUCCGUUAAGUCGGCUGUGAAAGUCCAAGGCUCAACCUUGGGAUGCCGGUCGAUACUGCCGGACUAGAGUUCGGAAGAGGCGAGUGGAAUUCCCGGUGUAGCGGUGAAAUGCGCAGAUAUCGGGAGGAACACCUAUGGCGAAGGCAGCUCGCUGGGACGUUACUGACGCUGGAGACGCGAAAGCGUGGGGAGCAAACAGG
rnacentral:rRNA from 1 species